rnacentral:tRNA from 1 species
AAGGUUCUAGCUUAAUUAAAGCACCUGGGUUGCAUUCAGGAGAUGUAGGGUAGAAUCCUGCGAAUCUUA